rfam:Capsicum annuum cultivar Zunla-1 chromosome 8, whole genome shotgun sequence
AUGCUUUGCUAAUUACUAUUAUUUUUAUGGGUCACAAUUUUUGUUGUGUGUGACUACUGUUACAAGUGAAGCUAAAAAAGAUGUUCCCCUCGCUAUCCUUUGCGCUUAAUUUUUGUUGUGUAUUUGGACGUUGGGGCACUACAUUA